rnacentral:rRNA from 1 species
UACGAAGGGGGCUAGCGUUGCUAGGCAUCACUGGGAGGAAAGCGCACGUAGGCGGCUUUUUAAGUCAGAGGUGAAAUCCUGGAGCUCAACUCCAGAACUGCCUUUGAUACUGAGAAGCUUGAGUCCGGGAGAGGUGAGUGGAACUGCGAGUGUAGAGGUGAAAUUCGUAGAUAUUCGCAAGAACACCAGUGGCGAAGGCGGCUCACUGGCCCGGAACUGACGCUGAGACGCGAAAGCGUGGGGAGCAAACAGU